rnacentral:lncRNA from 1 species
AUGCAUUGAGCAAUCGGAGUCAAAAUCACUGAGCUAAAUCCCCACUUAAUGUGUGUGCUUUGUGGAGGAUACUUAAUUGAUGCCAGAACCAUAAUAGAAUAUCUGCAUUCCUUCUGUGAAACCUGUAUUUCGUGUUACCUAUAGAUCAGCAAAUAUUGUCCUUUAAUGUCCAAGUUCACAAAACCAUUAUGCUCUGAAUAUAACAUCAGAUAAAAAUCCUCAAUCUAUUGUAUACAAUUACUUCCAGGCCUUUUCAGAAAUAAAAUGAGAAGGGAUCUUUAUGCAUCUCUUUAUUCAGCUGUUGCUGCCAAUGGCGCUAAUGAAAAUAGAGAAGUUGCAGAUGAAGAUAAGAGAAUUAUAACUGAUGGCGAAACAAUAAGCUUAUCCAUUGGAUUUUUUUUUUUGACCAGAACAGAAAGUAAACAAAGACAAAGAGAAGUUUAAGGAGGAGGUGAAUGAUAAAAGUUAUUUACAAUGCUCAGCCAGAAUGACUGUGAUGAACCUAAGGAACAUAUCUUAUACUUCCCAAUUGAUGUCAUGUAUGAAGAGGAAUCUUUAAAGGAUAAAUAUACAUUAAUGGAUAUUACUUACAUUUAUAUGUGGAUAAGAAAUGGACUUCUUCCUUUAAAGUACGGUGUUUGACCUAUUAGUAAAAGAAUGAAGCUUAGUUGCUGGAGAGAUGAACUGACAAAAAUGCUGGAGAACUGGAAUGUGACUUUGGAAUUAACAAGGCCAAUGGCCUAGUAGGAGUUAUUUCCUCUAGCUCUUCUUGUUUGCCUAGCUGCACUACUCCAAUCCAGUCUCCUCAUCUUCACUUUCCUCACAUGCCCAGUAUUAUGAAUGCCACCAGGAACAGUCCCACUGGUAACUAUGAACCUUUCUCUGCCAACAGACCUAAAAAAUCAUCAGCAAAUGGGUUAUUAGAAACUUCAUUCUUAGGU